rnacentral:tRNA from 1 species
GCCGACGUGGUGAAAUUGGUAGACACGCUGUCUUGAGGGGGCAGUGGCGAAAGCCGUAUCAGUUCGAGUCUGAUCGCCGGCACCA